rnacentral:rRNA from 1 species
AACGAACGCUGGCGGCAUGCCUAACACAUGCAAGUCGAACGAGACCUUCGGGUCUAGUGGCGCACGGGUGCGUAACGCGUGGGAACCUGCCCUUAGGUUCGGAAUAACUCCCCGAAAGGGGUGCUAAUACCGGAUAAUGUCUUCGGACCAAAGAUUUUAUCGCCUUUGGAUGGGCCCGCGUUGGAUUAGCUAGUUGGUAGGGUAAAAGCCUACCAAGGCGACGAUCCAUAGCUGGUCUGAGAGGAUGAUCAGCCACACUGGGACUGAGACACGGCCCAGACUCCUACGGGAGGCAGCAGUGGGGAAUAUUGGACAAUGGGCGAAAGCCUGAUCCAGCAAUGCCGCGUGAGUGAUGAAGGCCUUAGGGUUGUAAAGCUCUUUUACCCGGGAUGAUAAUGACAGUACCGGGAGAAUAAGCUCCGGCUAACUCCGUG